rnacentral:lncRNA from 1 species
AUUUUCUGAACCCUGCCUUCAAUGGCAUCUAAUAUCUUGAAAAAGCGUCUACUUUUAUCAGUCGCUGGGUUGGUUAAUGAAAUGAUAGUAAAAUCUCGUUUUUAUUUUGGUGCAAAAAACCAAGCCAAACCCAGCAGACAAUCAACUAUUUCUUGCUAAGCAACCCAUAGGCCCUGUCCGGUUCCACCGACUGAAGAACAUCACCUGGCGGUACUCCGAAUAGCUGGGCUGUCCAUGUAUCAGGAGCAACUCUUCUGGCCCUUGCAUCAGCCGUCUUGUUGGCCGUACGACUGGCAUACUUAACCGUGACCAACC